rnacentral:rRNA from 1 species
AUACGGAGGGUGCAAGCGUUAUUCGGAAUCACUGGGCGUAAAGGACGCGUAGGCGGGUUGGCAAGUCAGAUGUGAAAUCCUACAGCUUAACUGUAGAACUGCAUUUGAAACUGCUAACCUAGAGUGUGGGAGGGGGAGAUGGAAUUAGUGGUGUAGGGGUAAAAUCCGUAGAUAUCACUAGGAAUACCGAAAGCGAAGGCGAUCUCCUGGAACAUAACUGACGCUAGGGCGUGAAAGCGUGGGGAGCAAACAGGAUUAGAAACCCUUGUAGUCC